rnacentral:tRNA from 1 species
ACCUUUGCAAAUGGUUAAUGUGCUUGGCUGUUAACCAAGGGACUGGAGGUUCAAGACCACCCAGAGGUA